CCUAUUUAAGCAAAAAGAGGAAGAUGACUAAAGGCUAUCUAGGUGGUCCCCACACAUGUGGACAAAGCCCUCCAAGUACUUCUUGUUCCAAGUCUCUUUCCCGUAGCUUUCUUUUAAAAGCCCAAAUGACUAGAUGCUUUCCACUAGCUUGUGGUCCCCCACCAAUUCAAGGGCCCAAGAAUUGAAACCCUUAGAAGUCUCCCUAAUUUCCAUAAAGUCCUUCCUUUUUUUAUGGUUUUCUGCUUCAUUCUUGAAAUUAAGUCCAGAUACCAAAUAUGAGUAAAUAUUAAUAAUUAAGCAAUAUUUGGCAAGGAUAAAAAGGGAGAUUAAUAAUAAAAUAACUAACAAUUAACACCCUAUCAAUUUCCCCCACAGCUAAACCAUGCUUGUCCUCAAGCAUGAGAACAGUAAACAAGCACCAAUAUUUGAUAGUGGAUAUUGCUCUAUCCAACAAAUUGCCAAGAUACCAAGAAAAAUAAUAAUCAAGCAUCAAUGAUUAAGAUCCAAGAAAUAUCACUUUGGUUAGCUUCUAAACCACAAACUCCUCUAAUUUCAGGUUAACUAAUCUAAGAAAAAGGAAUAACGCAUAACAUUUAUCAGCAAAUGGUCCAACUAUUAACCAAAAUCUCAACAUUAAAUCCAUAUUUCGGCAAGCUGACUUUUAUUACACACUAACACAACCUUCACUUUUUUUUUCAUAUUUUUUCUACUUUUCUCUCUUUUUUUUUUUGAUUCUCUUUUUUUUUUCCUUCAAUAGUAACAAAAGACUUAGUCGCUAGCCAUUUGAGCCUUUUGACGCGAACUCCAACAUUGGUCAGAUGAAGGAGCCCGGUUACUCAGCUUCUAUCGCCACGUGACCACGUACUCAUAACAAUUACUACUUUUUGACGCGAGAAUCGAGACUUUUAGGUGCAGAUCCCCGGUUACUCAGUAGUAACUAAUAGCGGAGUACAGUCAAGUUUAUUUAUAGUUAAAAAUCACAAAAACUCAAUAUAACACAAGAACCAAAAGAAAACUUGCAUCAGCUAACCUCAUUUUCAAACAUGGAGAACUAAAGUUAAUAACCGGACCAAUUCACAUGAAAAUGCCAAUAAUCAUUCCCUAUGCCUAGGAAAGUUAACCAAAAAUUAUAAGAGUAAAACAAUCAUUGAUAUUCACCAAAGAGAUGUUUUUGGAUUCAACCACAUUAACUUGGUACCCUUUUAUUCUUAAAACUUGGCAAAAGUAGAAAUAGAGGCAAUAAUCCAACAUCAAACCUUGGCAUGCACUUACGAGCUAAUCACUAAAAAAAGAAAAAAAAAAUAUGAAAGACACUAGCACCAUAACUGCUCCCCCCACACCUAAAUCCUACAUUGUCCUCAAUGGAGGUAAUAAAGUAAUGAAAGUGAAGAGGACAACGAAACUUCCCUCUUUGAGUGGCCAAGAGGUAGGCGGGGGCGGUGGAGGAAACCAAUGUGGUAGAAGUACGCGGCCAAGGUCUGAGACAUCUCAACUCAAUUCAACCAGCAAAUGCAAAACUCUGUCCACCCAAAAUCUCAAAAAAAUGGCUCCAGUUGGCCAGUUAAUACCUUAACUUAAAAUCAGCAAUUUCAACAAUGACAACUUAGAUAUUUGACAAUACCAACUCAGCCAACCAAAUAGAUGUACCAAAUUCAAUUGAAAAUAUUUCCACCAGUACCACUGGGGGUAAAACGUAGUUCAAAAUCAAUGAAAUUGCUAUAGCAGAGUACAGCAGUAGUAAAGCAAAAACCCCAAGUGUUAAUCUAGUCACAAGAAAGAUUCUGAACCUCUAAAGAAGAGCAACAGGAGACCAGAAUUCCAAUGAAUAGAGCAAGUAGAGGAACUGAAGGUGGGAACCCAGUCCACCGAAGUCAAUAAACAAACCCAGGAAACAAAUAAGUCCGCAAAUGAGUCAACAAAUUGCACAAAUGAUCAGACCAAAAUCACAGACACUGCUCCUCCAAAUCAGCAAUAUAAACCAACAUCCAAAAUGUCCUCAAAAACUCGAUUAAAAACUACUAAUGCCAACAAGGAAUGCAGUUGCCGAAUUAAAUCAACCGAAAUCUCAACAAGCACAACACUGGCCGAGAUUCUUCCCAAAAUAUCACAGACAAUUGUUAAAAUUCCAGCCCACCCAAGAACUUCAACAAUUGCACCCAACUGGAGGAAGCAAUGUAAAUAGCAUAGAAACUUCCCAAUUUAACAAACAAGUGCAAUAUUCCAGCUUACCCAAAAUUUCAACAAAAGGCUCCAGUUGGCCAGUUAAAAUCUUAAUUCAAAAUCAGCAAUUUCAAUGAAAACGGCUUAGAUAUUGGACACUACAAACGCAGCCAACCAGAUAGAGGUACCCAAUUGAGGUAUAAGACCGGCAUGCUACAUGAAUGCUGCCAAAUUCUGCGCCAUGCUAUGCACAUUGUUAAUUAGACAUAAUCACUAAGCAAUAAGCAAUGAAAGUGGCACAGUAGCCUUCCAAAUUAACAAACAAAAGCAGAAAUUACUCAACUCACGUCACUCCAAUGGACUCAAGAUAGAAGGCAGGACAAUAGACUCAGGUGAAACCAAAAAUGACCCCAACAAAGUAGCAAAUAAUGACAAAAUGAACUCACCCCUAAAGCCCAAAAGUUGUCACCAAUUGGAAAGUCCAAUACAUAACUCAACUGGGAGCAAAUAUAAGCACAAGGGUUUGGGUUUUCAGGCAAACAGCUGACCAAACACACAGGGAAGAAGCAAUUCAAAUAGGCCGCCCAAAACACUGAUAAAUCCAUCAGCACAAGCAGUACCAGAAACAGAAGAAACCAAAACGGCAAUCAAUUGUGGCAAAUAACUCCUAAGGCAGCCCCAAACAUGCACUAGAAACUCCAAGCAAGGCACAGGUAAAGAAAAUCAAGCAAUAUACCACUUGCUAAUAUCCACCCAAAAUCCCAACAAAUGCUCCCAAGAAAUCAGCAAGUCUAGUAAUAGCAGGUCAGCAUUUAGGCAAUAACAACUUAGUCACAAGUUCUGAGCUUUCAAUCCCAACAGCCACACCAAUGAGAAUGAAUAAAUGUUAGGCAACUACCACAACCAGUACCACUGGUGUACGCACAGGGAAGAAUGAAAUCAAACGGCAAACUCAAUUCACUAAGAAAUACAAACAACACUAGACAGUACUUCAAGAGCCCAAACAAAUGACAAUUAUAUUAGACUAGGCAAAUCAGUUGCAGGUCAUAACCCAACCCACGGGCUCCAGUAACACAGAUGCAAGCCAAUCAAAUUUACUCAAUGAAAUCGUAAUCAUCAAAAUCCCAUCAUCAAGAAAUUGGAAUCGUAGACCACAAAAUUAGUAAGAAAAACCUGGCACCAGGGAGGUUGGGCAACCAACGGCAGCGCUGAUCUGUGCGUCGCGAGUGGUGGAAGUGGACGAGCGGCGUGGUCUGUCAGCUUGGGCUUCGUCGACGAGCUGUGGCGGCGCUGGUGCCACGCGCGGGCAGCGCAUGGUGGGCAGAGAGAGGUGCUGCGAGCUGGUCAACGGCGUGCGGCAAUGGGGGAGAAAAAGAGAGCUGGUGAUGGCCGCGAGGUGAAGCUGGAGCUGGACGAGAGGCGGCGCGCGUACAGGGUGGGUGACUGGUGGGGGGAGCUCGAUGCGAGGGGGAUAGCGGCGGCGGAUUGAGCAGCGGCGGCGUCGAUGGAGAUCUUGUGGUGGCUGCGCUGCUCGGCGGCUGGCUGUGCGAGAGAGAGACGGCUGGUGGAGGUUGGUGAGCGGCUGGAUCCGGCAGCGUGCGGCGGUCGGCGGGGGUCUGCUGUGUGGCGGCGCCAGAGGACUGGUCGAGCGCGCGGCGGCGUGCGCAGAGAGCAGGGGAGCAGCAAAACAGCGGAGAAGAAAGAAAAGAGAAAGAAAGAAGAAAAAAAAGAAAGAAAAAGAAAGGAAAGAAAGAAAAGAAAAGAAGGAAAAAAAAAGGGAAAUUUUUUUUUUUUUUUUUUUUAAGACUUCGGGGGAAAAUUUUUCUUCUUCUUGUUUUUUUUUCUUCUUUUUUUAUUAUUUUUUUUUAAUUUUUAAUUAUUAUUAUUAUAAAAAAAAAUUUUUAAUUAAUUGAAAUAAUAAUAAUAGUUCUCCUAUAUUUUUUUUUUUUUUUGAAUCCUUACCUUUCCCACGAAUGUGACGCGGGCACGUCAUGAGGGCAGGAGAGCUCCCAGAAGUUUCAGAAUUUCCUGAUCGUGAGCGUCCUGCGCAUCACCACGCGGGCACGUCAUGAGGGCAGGAGAGCUCCCAGAAGUUUUAGAAUUUCCUGAUCGUGAGCGUCCUGCGCAUCACCACGCGGGCACGUCAUGACUGAAGGGCACCUAUAAAUCAGCAAAAACGAAAAUUAACACCCAAAAUCAGUCAAAUUCAAGGAAGAACAGAUUUAAACUAUGACACGAAACCAACAAACAACUAAAAGAAACAAUUGGGUUGCCUCCCAAUGAGCGCCUUUCUUUAAUGUCUUUGGCUAGACAUUAUUAUGUUUUUUUCAUGGAGGAUAAAAUCUUGUGGCUCGUCUCAUUGCUUCAUCCUCUACAUAGUCCUGAUAACCCUCAUAGAUGGAGUAAUCUUUGAGCACACGAGCUACGGUCUUCCAUGGAUUAGUUGAUGGUGCCAAAUAAUUAAGCAGUGAUCUUAAUUUUUCCUCCACCCCUCCAUCAAGAGCACUCAACGGUUCAAGAUAUUUGACCAUAGCUACUCUUAACUUAUUUCUGCCAUGAGACUCAAAAACUUCCGGUAUAACAAAAUCAAUCUCAUUAACAGAAAUCAUGGAAUAAGAGUUAAGAAAAUGCGGGUCAGGGAAUGGAGGUGGUGUCACCACAUUUGAUGAUUCUUCACUGGAUUCUUUCACUCCAAUGGGUUGCGGUUGGGGUUCCAUUUCUUCAUUUUCGGCUUCUUUUGCAACUGCAUUUGUAGAUUUCUCAUUUUGACAUUCUUGCAUCUCCUCAUCCUUGUCCUUAGGGAUCACAGGCUCAGGCCCUUGAACCUCUUUGCCACUCCUCAAGGUCAUGGCGCUGACAUUCUUCGGGUUCAACUCAGGUUGAGAUGGCAAUUCACCUUGGUUCUGGGAAUCCGAACGAUUGAUUGUUGUAGCCAUUUGACUUGUCUGAUUCCUUAUAUCCUGCAUUUCGGAGUCCGUCCUUUGUUGAUUUUGCAUAAUGAUUGCCUCCGUCCUUUGCUGAUUUUGCGCCAUUAUUGUCAUCACUUGUUUUAUCAUCUCCUCCAAAGAUGGACCAGAGCUUGGGGGCGGAGGUGGUCGGGGUUGGUAUUGCUGCUGGUACCCUGACAGGGACGAUGGUUGUUGAGACUCUUGCUGUUGAAAAUCCAUUGGCCCGGUCGCAUAAUCAAAACUGGAAUUAUCCCACCAUUCUUGAUCAUACCCGUUUGAAUAAGGGUCAUACUGCAUUUGAUAUUGGGGUGGAAAAUCUCCAAAAGUAUCAAUUGGAGCACUUAGGUUGUCUUGAAAUGCGGGGCAUGUGUCAGUUGAAUAACCUGAGUCAAAAUGAGUUCCACAAUUUGCAACAGCCCAUUGAUCAUUAGGAAAAACAUGAGUCUCAUAACCCCAUUCACGAACAAAGUCCGGUCUAUCAUCAAAAUAUGGAAUGUUAGCAGCCAUAAACUAUAUAAAAAAAUAAGAGAAAAAUAAAUUAAAAAUGGAAACAAGGUGAACUCAAAAAGAAACAAAUUAAUCUAACAUCAGUCCCCGGCAGCGGCGCCAAAAAUUGACAGGUUGUCGAAACCUGUGCAAUAAUAAAACCUAAAAAUUGACAGGUUGUCGAAACCUGUGCAAUAAUAAAACCUGCUCAAACUAAAAGUAAUUUCUGUAGAUAGUGGUGAGCAGGGUCGAAUCCACAGGGACUGGGGAUAAUUCGUUUCUUCUAGAGUCCAAAGUAUGGGGGGUUUUGGAUUAAAUGCUAACUAAAUAAAUUAACUGCAGAAAAUAAUUAAUUAAAAGAAAUAAUUAGAGAAACUCUAGCCAAGGAUACACUUCAGAAAUGGUUCAUGCACUGAUCAUUGAUGCAGGAAUAAUUCCAACAUUUAUUAACAAAUUAGUUAUAGUUGUCAUGCACGCGAUAAACAACCAACCCUUCCUUAAUUUAUUGAUAGCUAAGGUACGACCGUUAGCUAUUUCCCUAACCCAAAAACAACCCCAGGUACGACCGUAGGAUUUAAUUUCUAGGUUGCAUUAAUAAUUAGAAAGGCCCAAUCCUGACUAACAAACACGCUACGAGGGUUUAUUUAAGCCAGAUCAAAUAUUCCCCUGACACAAUUCCAAUUAUGCCAGUUGCUACUGGGAUAGAGAUAACGAACAAUUACGGAUUCAAUUACCCCUAUAUAGCAAAAUAGCCUGUAUGAAUAAUUAAUUAUUGCGCACUAAUCAAUCAUCCACACGCACUAUAACGGUUAAAAGCAGGAAACAUAUGAAUACCAAUAAAUGAAGGAGGCAAUUAAAAUAAAUUAGAUCUCACAGUAAUUAUUGAACCAAAUCUUCAGUUGUCCCCUUGACUAGAAACACUUAACCACGCCUCAUGAGAAACUCUCCCCGUUGGGGCAUAUUGUCGAACACCUGGCGUGUGUCAGAGGCCAGUCCGGAGAAAGCAAAACUAAAACUAAACUAAAAGACUACUAAAAACUAGAGAUGUCCCCGCUACUCUACGUUAUCCCUAUUUAAGCAAAAAGAGGAAGAUGACUAAAGGCUAUCUAGGUGGUCCCCACACAUGUGGACAAAGCCCUCCAAGUACUUCUUGUUCCAAGUCUCUUUCCCGUAGCUUUCUUUUAAAAGCCCAAAUGACUAGAUGCUUUCCACUAGCUUGUGGUCCCCCACCAAUUCAAGGGCCCAAGAAUUGAAACCCUUAGAAGUCUCCCUA
rnacentral:lncRNA from 1 species